CUGGCUAUUAAAAUCUAAUGGUGUCAUGAGCAUGCUUACCUAUCAUUCCAGGUACAGAGUCAUCCUUUGUCCCCAGGAAGAGGCCUUCUGUCCCCAGUCCUAUCCUCUAAAAGCUCCAGCUUUUCGUUUCUGUCCUAACUUUCCUGGGGUUGAGUCUCCACCCAGGGCCAACUAGGGGAGAAGGCUGCGCAGAACUCACACUCCUUGCAGACCAGGUACCCGAAACCCCGGUGUUCCUUGUCCAGCAUGAUCGGGGCUUCUUAGCCUAUGAAUCUUUCACUACAGCCCUCUGUCCCAAAGGUUCUGGCACUUCUGGGUGGUAAGUCAAAGAAAUCACAAGUUCAGUUGGGGAGAAGGAAAGAUGCAACUGGGGACACGCAAACUCCUGUGUCUUCACGCAUGUGUAGAGCUAGAGGUGGCUUUGUGUUAUGAGCAAAGACAGGAGGGAAGGUAGAUGUCUCAAGGGCUGGAAGCUGGGGACAAAUCUCCCUGGGGCUAUCAUGUUCUGACAGAGCAAGAAUUCUAAAGCCCUUCCUGGCCUUGGUGGCCACUGUGGGGGUUCUCUUAUGUUGGGAUUGCUUUUUUUUUUUUUAACAUAUUUGGAAAUUCAUAUUGAUCUGCAGCCUAUCUGUGAACCUCCGCAGGUCCUUCAGCCCCUGCCCACGAAUGUUGGGUGAGGGGCUUGUUCGGCAUGACCCCUUCAAGGCCAGAUCUGUAGAGAGCAGCCUGAAGACCCUGGAAGUCUCUGGAUCCUCUGCUGGAGGAGUCCUCACUUCAGCUAGAGCUGGAGGAGUCUCUCGAGGAGGGGUCACCACCAACGGUACCCAGCAAACAGAGCCAUGGUGCGGGGAUGAAGCAAAGAGACCACCACGCACACCUCCAAGGUCUCAGUGACUCAGUAGGAAUUGGGGCAGCACUCAGAAUCUAGGGCCAGGCCCCUGGGGAAUGUGAGAGUCGAGGUCCUUGAAUAUUUCAUCAGCACUUCAGCUCCGGUUGAAGCAGCAGCCAACUUACCGCUCAUGGAUAAUUUAUGAUCCCAACAGAGAAACUGGAAGUAGUGGGGGGGGGGGGCAGGGGGGGGGGGGGGGGAGGCAGGGCCAAGCUGUAGAUAAGAGUGAAGGAGAGAAGCCAGCUGGAUGGGAGUGUGUGAGAGGUCUGGGAGCAGGAGCUCCCAACACCAUGAGACUCUUCCAUGUUUGAGGAUACCAAGGCAUUAAAAAUCAAUAAACAGCACAGUGAUGGAGAUGCUACA
rnacentral:lncRNA from 1 species